CGGCUGGGCCCCAGCCUGGCACCUGGGGCUGGGAAUCCGGCUCCCGGCCCCCAUCCCCCACAGGGUCCCCUGCUGGGGUCGAAGCCUGGGACCUCGUCCCCCUGUGUUCUCGACGCGGGUUCUCUGCCUGCGAUCGGGCCCCAGAGCACCUGCUCCCUGCCCUGCUUCAAGCUGCCCUCGACUCAGCCGCUCAGCAUCCCUCGUUCUGGAUCCUGGAUCUUCACCCCCAGAGCCCCUCACAUCCCUGGAUGCUGGGGACGUGACGUGAAAACAAGACAGACAAAAGUCCUUGCCCUUAUGGAGUACGCAUUCUAGCAGAGGAAAGAGAUGGUAAACAAAUGAAUAACAUCUAUAAUGCACCUCCUACCAUCUGGCCUCCCUCCCUUCCCUAGAGGGCGAGCUCCGUGAGGUCAGAGCAUUUCGUCCGUCUUCCUGUUAAUGUCCCUCACCUGGAAACAUGCCUGGAACACAGCAGGUGCCCAUUCUAUUAGAACCAGAACCAACAGGAUAAACAUUGAGAAAAACAUGUAUUAUGAGGCAUUGACUCAUGUGAUUAUGGAGGCUGAGAAGUCCCACAGUCUGCUGUCUGUAAGCUGGAGAUUUAGAAAGCCACGGUGUAGUCCAGUCUGAGUCCGAAGGCAUGAGAACCAGGAGCACCGAUGGUGCAAGUCCCAGGUGGAGGGCAG
rnacentral:lncRNA from 1 species